rnacentral:rRNA from 1 species
UGAGCAAUCUGCCCUUCUCAUCGGAAUAAGCGUUGGAAACGACGUCUAAUGCCGAAUACGACCUCCUUUCGCAUGAUCGGAGGUGGAAAGCUCCGGCGGAGAAGGAUGAGCUCGCGGCCUAUCAGCUAGUUGGUGUGGGUAAUGGCCCACCAAGGCGACGAUCGGUAGCUGGUCUGAGAGGACGAUCAGCCACACUGGGACUGAGACACGGCCCAGACUCCG